rnacentral:tRNA from 1 species
ACUUUUAAAGGAUCGAAGUUAAUCCGUUGGCCUUAGGAGCCAAAAUUCUUGGUGCAACCCCAAGUGAAAGUA